AACGCUAGCUACAGGCUUAACACAUGCAAGUCGAGGGGCAGCAUGGUCUUAGCUUGCUAAGGCUGAUGGCGACCGGCGCACGGGUGAGUAACACGUAUCCAACCUGCCGUCUACUCUUGGCCAGCCUUCUGAAAGGAAGAUUAAUCCAGGAUGGGGAUCAUGAGUUCACAUGUCCGCAUGAUUAAAGGUAUUUUCCGGUAGACGAUGGGGAUGCGUUCCAUUAGAUAGUAGGCGGGGUAACGGCCCACCUAGUCAACGAUGGAUAGGGGUUCUGAGAGGAAGGUCCCCCACAUUGGAACUGAGACACGGUCCAAACUCCUACGGGAGGCAGCAGUGAGGAAUAUUGGUCAAUGGGCGAUGGCCUGAACCAGCCAAGUAGCGUGAAGGAUGACUGCCCUAUGGGUUGUAAACUUCUUUUAUAAAGGAAUAAAGUCGGGUAUGCAUACCCGUUUGCAUGUACUUUAUGAAUAAGGAUCGGCUAACUCCGUGCCAGCAGCCGCGGUAAUACGGAGGAUCCGAGCGUUAUCCGGAUUUAUUGGGUUUAAAGGGAGCGUAGAUGGAUGUUUAAGUCAGUUGUGAAAGUUUGCGGCUCAACCGUAAAAUUGCAGUUGAUACUGGAUGUCUUGAGUGCAGUUGAGGCAGGCGGAAUUCGUGGUGUAGCGGUGAAAUGCUUAGAUAUCACGAAGAACUCCGAUUG
rnacentral:rRNA from 1 species